GACGAACGCUGGCGGCGUGCUUAACACAUGCAAGUCGAACGGAAAGGCCCGGCUUUCGUGGGGUGCUCGGGGGGCGAACGGGUGGGUAACACGUGAGUAACCUGCCCUAGACUUUGGGAUAACUUCAGGAAACCGGGGCUAAUACCGCUAAUGAGCGCCUGCAGCACGGGGGGGGGCGGGAAGUUGCGGCGGUUGGGGUUGGGGUCGGGGCUUAGCAGCUUGUUGGUGGGGUAGUGGCUUGGGAAGCCUCCGACGGGGAGCCGGCCGGGGAGGGUGACCGGCCACAUUGGGCCUGCGCUUCGGCCCGGCCUCCUUCGGGAGGCAGGAGUGGGGAAUAUUGCCCAGUGGGCGGGAGCCUGAUGGAGCAACGCCGGGUUCGGGGUGACGGCCUUCGGGUUGUAGACCGCUUUCGCCUGUGACGAAGCGGUGGUGACGGUAGUGGGUGAAGAAGCACCGGCUAACUACGUG
rnacentral:rRNA from 1 species